AAUUCUUAAAAAUUGUUGUGGCAACAAUAGGAACAAUUUGAGGCCAUCAAUUUAAAUCCAUAGCUGAACGAUAGUGAAGAGUUUCAAAAAUCCUCCUAAAAACUUCCAAAUCCUACGACCUUCCUCUCUGCUAAGCUGCUCAUCUCCUCCAGCCCCAAUCUCUACUCAGCUGCUCACCUCCCCCCCUCCCCCCAUCAAGCUCCACCAAAACCAGAUCUAAGAGCCAUUGAGAAAUAGAUCUUGCCAAAAUUUCGUGUACUUUCCAGGAAAAUUUUGGACCAGGUACGCCUCUCAUUCUCUUUCUUCUUACUUGUUCUUAUUUACCAACUCCAUGAACAGUAGCAUAAAUAAAGGGGGGCGGGGAAGGGCUGCCGCCCCGUGGGAAAAAAGAGUUUCCCAAUUACUUUUAAGUCCCAUCCCCUUUUGUUUUUGUUUUGGUCGUUGUGGCUGUGGUGGUGAUGACAACAGUUGUGGCUCAGCUUUUGUGGCUGUGGGAUCGUUGAUAGCCCUCUGCCCUCCCUGCAGCCUUUGCUCUCUUCCUCUCAAUCUUUUCAGUUCCCCCAAGAACAAAAACCUCUCCUUUCUCUCCUCCCCCUGCCAAACCCAGCCCAACCUUUGCUUUUGGGUAUUUGCCUUAUAGUAUUUGUCUAUGAAUUAUAGGCAAGAGAUUUUGAUUCAAAUUCGUUGAGUAAUCAAUAAUUAAUAAAAUCUGGACGUGUUUUGUUGUUUUAUUAGCUAUUUUAUCUUCUUGAUCGUUGACCUCCCAAGUUGCAUUUUAGUGCCGGUUCUACCUUGAAAUUAUUGAUACAGUGAUACUCCUAUUUGUUUUCUUUCUAAAUAGAUUUAAGUUCCAAAAGAAUUGUUGUUGUUGGGGGGCUUUGGGGAUCUUGUUAAGACAAAGAGUCUAUGCUUAAAGGUACCUGUUGACAUAGAUUCUGGUAGGAAACGUGUCGAUCAGUAACUCGCCUAUAAGCUCAUUCUUCGGUGGUGCAAACAAGAAAGCUGCAUCGGGGGAUGCCGACAAUCCCGCUCCAAUGCUUAAUUCUUGAAAACCACAGUGGCAUUAUCGAAAAUGAAAUCAACUGUUCCGAACAAGGAGGGAGCGGAGCUAGAAGCGAAAUUGAAGGGGAACGAGAAAGAAGGAGCUGAAGAUCGAAGAAGAGUAAACAAAGACAUAGACAGAGAGAGAGGGGCAAGAUGGGUGUUUAAUUUGUUUCAAAGGAUUGAGUCUUUUGAUGUUUAUUAUAUUUUUUUAGUUUUUGAUGACUUGUCCACUUAUAA